AUGAUCGUGGCCUAGUGUUUAGAGCGUUAGCCUCAAAAGCGGAAGGUCGCGGGUUUGAACCCCGGCCUAGUCACA